AACGAACGCUGGCGGUAUGCCUAACACAUGCAAGUCGAACGAGACCUUCGGGUCUAGUGGCGCACGGGUGCGUAACGCGUGGGAACCUGCCCUUAGGUUCGGAAUAACUCCCCGAAAGGGGUGCUAAUACCGGAUAAUGUCUUCGGACCAAAGAUUUAUCGCCUUUGGAUGGGCCCGCGUUGGAUUAGCUAGUUGGUAGGGUAAAAGCCUGCCAAGGCGACGAUCCAUAGCUGGUCUGAGAGGAUGAUCAGCCACACUGGGACUGAGACACGGCCCAGACUCCUACGGGAGGCAGCAGUGGGGAAUAUUGGACAAUGGGCGAAAGCCUGAUCCAGCAAUGCCGCGUGAGUGAUGAAGGCCUUAGGGUUGUAAAGCUCUUUUACCCGGGAUGAUAAUGACAGUACCGGGAGAAUAAGCUCCGGCUAACUCCGUG
rnacentral:rRNA from 1 species